GAUGAACGCUGGCGGCGUGCUUAAUACAUGCAAGUCGAGCGAACAGACGCGGCGUUUGCUCCUCUCACGUUAGCGGAGGACGGGUGUGUCACACGUGUAACACCCCCUUAUCAGUGUGAUAUCUCUUCGGGAAACCGGAGAUAACACCGGAUAAUAUAUUGAAGCGUAUGGUUCAAUAGUGAAAGACGGUUUUGCUGUAACUUAUCGAUGGAUACGCGCUGCAUUAGCUAGUUGGUACGGUAACGGCUUAUCAAGGCAACGAUGCGUAGCCGACCUGAGAGGGUGAUCGGCCACACGGGAACUGAGACACGGUCCAGACUCCUACGGGAGGCAGCAGUAGGGAAUCUUCCGCAAAGGGCGAAAGCCUGACGGAGCAACGCCGCGUGAGUGAUGAAGGUCUUCGGAGCGUAAAACUCUGUUAUUAGGGAAGAACAAAUGUGUAAGUAACUAUGCACGUCUUGACGGUACCUAAUCAGAAAGCCACGGCUAACUACGUG
rnacentral:rRNA from 1 species